UCUGAAUCUGCGAACGGCUCCGCAAACCAGUUGUAAACUAUAGCAAGCAUGCUCGGGAUUUGGCCCUCACGGGUUGGGUUUCGGGUGAUAAGGAUAACCCUGGUAAUUCUGAGGCUAAUACUAGAACGCAAAAACUUGACUGACCGGUUUUACUGGGAGGUUGGGGGGCGUGCAAGUGGGUUUCGCAUAGGAUAACCGGGAAGGGGUGCACGUUUGGACCGCGAUAAAGACAGACUGGUUUCGGCCGGCCUGAGCGGCACUUGCGUUGUGCUUCUGACCUAUCAACUAGAUGGCAGCGUAACGGACAUGCUAUGGU
rnacentral:rRNA from 1 species